rnacentral:rRNA from 1 species
GACGAACGCUGGCGGCGUGCUUAACACAUGCAAGUCGAACGGAAAGGCCCUGCUUUUGUGGGGUGCUCGAGUGGCGAACGGGUGAGUAACACGUGAGUAACCUGCCCUUGACUUUGGGAUAACUUCAGGAAACUGGGGCUAAUACCGGAUAGGAGCUCCUGCUGCAUGGUGGGGGUUGGAAAGUUUCGGCGGUUGGGGAUGGACUCGCGGCUUAUCAGCUUGUUGGUGGGGUAGUGGCUUACCAAGGCUUUGACGGGUAGGCGGCCUGAGAGGGUGACCGGGCACCUUGGGACUGAGAUACGGCCCAGACUCCUACGGGGGGCAGCAGUGGGGAAUAUUGCACAAUGGGCGGAAGCCUGAUGCAGCAACGCCGGGGGCGGGAUGACGGCCUUCGGGGUGUAAACCGCUUUCGGCUGUGACGAAGCGGGAGUGACGGUAAUGGGUAAAGAAGCACCGGCUAACUACGUG